rnacentral:rRNA from 1 species
GUGGGGAAUCUUCCGCAAUGGGCGAAAGCCUGACGGAGCAACGCCGCGUGAGUGAUGACGGCCUUCGGGUUGUAAAGCUCUGUUAUAUGGGACGAACGGGCAUGGGGCCAAUACCCUCAUGCAGUGACGGUACCGUAAGAGAAAGCCACGGCUAACUACGUGCCAGCAGCCGCGGUAAUACGUAGGUGGCAAGCGUUGUCCGGAAUUAUUGGGCGUAAAGGGCGUGUAGGCGGCCAGACAAGUCUGUCUUAAAAGUGCGGGGCUCAACCCCGUGAUGGGAUGGAAACUGUCGGGCUAGAGUGUCGGAGAGGAAAGCGGAAUUCCUAGUGUAGCGGUGAAAUGCGUAGAUAUUAGGAGGAACACCAGUGGCGAAAGCGGCUUUCUGGACGACAACUGACGCUGAGGCGCGAAAGCCAGGGGAGCAAACGGGAUUAGAUACCCGGGUAGUCC